rnacentral:rRNA from 1 species
GACGUGAGGGUCCGAGCGUUGUCCGGAGUUACUGGGCGUAAGGGCGCGUAGGCGGAUGUUUAAGUCGGGGUGAAAGCCCGAGGCUCAACCUCGGCCUGCAGUCGAUACGGGCAGGCUAGAGUUCGGUAGGGGAGACUGGAAUUCCUGGUGUAGCGGUGAAAUGCGCAGAUAUCAGGAGAACACCCGUGGCGAAGGCGGCUCUCUGGACGGUACUGACGCUGAGACGCGAAGCGUGGGAGCGAACAGG